GGCGCUGCUGCCAAUUAUGAGGAUCAGUUUGACUUGAAGAAAAAUGGGGAAGAUGCAUUGAGCUCAUCAAAUGCCUCUAUAUUAGCGGCAGAUGCAAUAGCUAUAGAGGCAGUGAACGAUGAUGAUGAACAAAUGGAAACUGAUAGUUUAGAUGGUAGGACUGAUGAUGUAGAACAAAAUGUUGUGAAUCACUCAAAGUUGACUGAAACAUCCGAACAGAACCUCCGGGCACCUGCAGAGUCUAG
rnacentral:misc_RNA from 1 species